AACGAACGCUGGCGGCAGGCUUAACACAUGCAAGUCGAGCGCCCCGCAAGGGGAGCGGCAGACGGGUGAGUAACGCGUGGGAAUCUACCCAUCCCUACGGAACAACUCCGGGAAACUGGAGCUAAUACCGUAUACGCCCUUCGGGGGAAAGAUUUAUCGGGGAUGGAUGAGCCCGCGUUGGAUUAGCUAGUUGGUGGGGUAAUGGCCUACCAAGGCGACGAUCCAUAGCUGGUCUGAGAGGAUGAUCAGCCACACUGGGACUGAGACACGGCCCAGACUCCUACGGGAGGCAGCAGUGGGGAAUAUUGGACAAUGGGCGAAAGCCUGAUCCAGCCAUGCCGCGUGAGUGAUGAAGGCCCUAGGGUUGUAAAGCUCUUUCACCGGUGAAGAUAAUGACGGUAACCGGAGAAGAAGCCCCGGCUAACUUCGUGCCAGCCGCCGCCGUAAGAC
rnacentral:rRNA from 1 species